UUCUAGUCAGUUUUAAAUGUAUCACAUAUUAAUUAAAACACUGAUUUUGAAAGACCCCCAAAGGGAGACCCUCACUCAAGCCUCGGGAUACGGCGCGGACCCAAGAGAGACGCGGAGACCA
rnacentral:pre_miRNA from 7 species